GGACGAACGCUGGCGGCGUGCCUAAUACAUGCAAGUUGAGCGCUGAAGGUUGGUACUUGUACCGACUGGAUGAGCAGCGAACGGGUGAGUAACGCGUGGGGAAUCUGCCUUUGAGCGGGGGACAACAUUUGGAAACGAAUGCUAAUACCGCAUAAAAACUUUAAACACAAGUUUUAAGUUUGAAAGAUGCAAUUGCAUCACUCAAAGAUGAUCCCGCGUUGUAUUAGCUAGUUGGUGAGGUAAAGGCUCACCAAGGCGAUGAUACAUAGCCGACCUGAGAGGGUGAUCGGCCACAUUGGGACUGAGACACGGCCCAAACUCCUACGGGAGGCAGCAGUAGGGAAUCUUCGGCAAUGGACGAAAGUCUGACCGAGCAACGCCGCGUGAGUGAAGAAGGUUUUCGGAUCGUAAAACUCUGUUGGUAGAGAAGAACGUUGGUGAGAGUGGAAAGCUCAUCAAGUGACGGUAACUACCCAGAAAGGGACGGCUAACUACGUGCCAGCAGCCGCGGUAAUACGUAGGUCCCGAGCGUUGUCCGGAUUUAUUGGGCGUAAAGCGAGCGCAGGUGGUUUAUUAAGUCUGGUGUAAAAGGCAGUGGCUCAACCAUUGUAUGCAUUGGAAACUGGUAGACUUGAGUGCAGGAGAGGAGAGUGGAAUUCCAUGUGUAGCGGUGAAAUGCGUAGAUAUAUGGAGGAACACCGGUGGCGAAAGCGGCUCUCUGGCCUGUAACUGACACUGAGGCUCGAAAGCGUGGGGAGCAAACAGGAUUAGGUACCCUGGUAGUCCACGCCGUAAACGAUGAGUGCUAGAUGUAGGGAGCUAUAAGUUCUCUGUAUCGCAGCUAACGCAAUAAGCACUCCGCCUGGGGAGUACGACCGCAAGGUUGAAACUCAAAGGAAUUGACGGGGGCCCGCACAAGCGGUGGAGCAUGUGGUUUAAUUCGAAGCAACGCGAAGAACCUUACCAGGUCUUGACAUACUCGUGCUAUUCCUAGAGAUAGGAAGUUCCUUCGGGACACGGGAUACAGGUGGUGCAUGGUUGUCGUCAGCUCGUGUCGUGAGAUGUUGGGUUAAGUCCCGCAACGAGCGCAACCCCUAUUGUUAGUUGCCAUCAUUAAGUUGGGCACUCUAACGAGACUGCCGGUGAUAAACCGGAGGAAGGUGGGGAUGACGUCAAAUCAUCAUGCCCCUUAUGACCUGGGCUACACACGUGCUACAAUGGAUGGUACAACGAGUCGCGAGACAGUGAUGUUUAGCUAAUCUCUUAAAACCAUUCUCAGUUCGGAUUGUAGGCUGCAACUCGCCUACAUGAAGUCGGAAUCGCUAGUAAUCGCGGAUCAGCACGCCGCGGUGAAUACGUUCCCGGGCCUUGUACACACCGCCCGUCACACCACGGGAGUUGGGAGUACCCGAAGUAGGUUGCCUAACCGCAAGGAGGGCGCUUCCUAAGGUAAGACCGAUGACUGGGGUGAAG
rnacentral:rRNA from 1 species